rnacentral:rRNA from 1 species
GGAUAACAUACCGAAAGGUAUGCUAAUACGGGAUAAUAUAUUUGAGAGGCAUCUCUUAAAUAUCAAAGGUGAGCCAGUACAGGAUGGACCCGCGUCUGAUUAGCUAGUUGGUAAGGUAACGGCUUACCAAGGCGACGAUCAGUAGCCGACCUGAGAGGGUGAUCGGCCACAUUGGAACUGAGACACGGUCCAAACUCCUACGGGAGGCAGCAGUGGGGAAUAUUGCACAAUGGGCGAAAGCCUGAUGCAGCAACGCCGCGUGAGUGAUGAAGGCCUUCGGGUCGUAAAACUCUGUCCUCAAGGAAGAUAAUGACGGUACUUGAGGAGGAAGCCCCGGCUAACUACGUGCCAGCAGCCGCGGUAAUACGUAGGGGGCUAGCGUUAUCCGGAUUUACUGGGCGUAAAGGGUGCGUAGGCGGUCUUUCAAGUCAGGAGUGAAAGGCUACGGCUCAACCGUAGUAAGCUCUUGAAACUGGGAGCCUUGAGUGCAGGAGAGGAGAGUGGAAUUCCUAGUGUAGCGGUGAAAUGCGUAGAUAUUAGGAGGAACACCAGUUGCGAAGGCGGCUCUCUGGACUGUAACUGACGCUGAGGCACGAAAGCGUGGGGAGCAAACAGGAUUAGAUACCCUGGUAGUCCACGCUGUAAACGAUGAGUACUAGGUGUCGGGGGUUACCCCCUUCGGUGCCGCAG